UACGGAGGGGACUAGCGUUGUUCGGAAUUACUGGGCGUAAAGAGCGUGUAGGCGGCUAGGUAGGUCCGUUGUGAAAACUCGAGGCUCAACCUCGAGACGCCGGUGGAAACCAUCUAGCUAGAGUCCGGAAGAGGAGAGUGGAAUUCCUGGUGUAGCGGUGAAAUGCGCAGAUAUCAGGAAGAACACCCGUGGCGAAGGCGGCUCUCUGGGACGUGACUGACGCUGAGACGCGAAAGCGUGGGGAGCGAACAGG
rnacentral:rRNA from 1 species